rnacentral:lncRNA from 1 species
GGGCGGGCCGGGUAAGGUCCAGCCGUAUCCGCCUCCUUCAUGUCCCGCUGUGGGAGGGGCUCUGGAGCGCCGGGACUGUGAGAUGGCCAAUGACGGUCUGACCCGUUGGGCCGGGCCAGGUCGCGGACAACGUCGACCGUUUGUUUAAGAAGCGUGGACUCUUGUCCUGAGUGCACCGAGGCUUUCAGCCUGCGGGACAGUGGUGCGAUUUGCAUUAGAGAAAGGGAGAUGCCAUGUGCUGGCCCAGCACUCCAACAGGGGCCUGACCUCUAGGAACGGGACACUGGAGGAAGCCUAGACAUCUGAACAAAUCAAGUCAUCCAGAUCCACGGUCAGCUCCUGCCCCGACUUGGCCUUCCUCCUGCUGGGCUGGCCCACGGACCUCGGGAACCUGCCCUGGCUGUGGGUGACCUGCAGCCUAUCUCCCAGGACUAUGGAAGCCCCAUGCAGGAACAUGGUUCUGACACUUUGGGGAUUAUACCCUAAGCUUAAAGGACUGGAAAAGCCCCUGAAGUCCCGAGACCACAACCCUCCACCUUCUAAAGAUAAGACAAGUCACUGAAGGUCUCAGAACUGUGGCCCAUUCACCCCUUCCCUCAAGACAAGAGUGUGGCCAAGCAUCAAUCUCACCCCCAGAGACCAGACGGUGUCCAGGUCUUGGGCAGACGAAACCUGCUCCUUGGGGAUGGUCUUCCUGGCUGUGCUUCCAAAGGGCUGGCCUGCAAUCAGCUGGUUUUCACUUGAUCCUUUCGGGGUUUGCAUUAUAUCUGACUGAAGGAAUGAACUGGGAGAGAACAGCAGAGCCGCAGCGGAAUGUGGAAAGGCCCACGUCCAGACUGUUCCCAUUCUGAUUUAAAAGCCUGAUGAAGGAACAGCUGAACUCAGAGAAACAGCAGAGGAAAGGUCCUGUGAGGGUACAGUGAGAAGAUGGCCAUCUACCAGCCAGGAGGAAAGGCCUAACAAGAAACCAACUCUGCUGGCACCUUGAUCGUGAACUCCCGCCCUCUAGAACUGUGAGAAAAUAAACGUCUGUUUAAGCCACCUGGUCUGUGGUAUUUUGUUAUGGAAGCCCGAGCAGACCAAUAUGCCUACUAAGUAAGUACAAGUUCUAGAUAUCCAAGUGUUUUCUUUAUGUCAUCUCCUCGACAAAUUAAAUAUUUCAAUGUCCACAUUCUCAGAAAGAAAAGGAGUCAGUGUUUUAAUGGAUCCUGUUUAAUCUUUACUUCCCUGUAUCCUUAUUUCCGUGAAUGUGACUUCACAAAUGGAGUCAUCCUAUAUCCUACUCCCAAGGCACAAUCUGCUAAAAGCAAGAAAAAGGCUUUGCGCUGCUAAUUCACCCUUUUCUGCUCAGCAUUUGGCUCUAAACUGUAACCUGAG